rnacentral:miRNA from 1 species
AUUAAGUUGGUGCAAAACUAAUCACGGUUUUUGCCAUUGAAAAUCAAGGCAAAAACUGCAGUUACUUUUGCACCAACUGAAUAC